rnacentral:rRNA from 1 species
GACGAACGCUGGCGGCGUGCCUAAUACAUGCAAGUAGAACGCUGAAGGAGGAGCUUGCUUCUCCGGAUGAGUUGCGAACGGGUGAGUAACGCGUAGGUAACCUGCCUGGUAGCGGGGGAUAACUAUUGGAAACGAUAGCUAAUACCGCAUAAGAGUAGAUGUUGCAUGACAUUUGCUUAAAAGGUGCAAUUGCAUCACUACCAGAUGGACCUGCGUUGUAUUAGCUAGUUGGUGAGGUAACGGCUCACCAAGGCGACGAUACAUAGCCGACCUGAGAGGGUGAUCGGCCACACUGGGACUGAGACACGGCCCAGACUCCUACGGGAGGCAGCAGUAGGGAAUCUUCGGCAAGGGACGGAAGUCUGAACGAGAAACGCCGAGGGAGGGAAGAAGGUUUUCGGAUCGGAAAGCUCUGUUCUAAGAGAAGAACGAGUGUGAGAGUGGAAAGUUCACACUGUGACGGUAUCUUACCAGAAAGGGACGGCUAACUACGUG